AUUGAACGCUAGCGGGAUGCUUUACACAUGCAAGUCGAACGAGGCGCGGACGGGUGAGUAAUAUGUCAGAACGUGCCCAGUAGCGGGGUAUAACUACUAGAAGGAGUGUCUAAUCCCGCAUACUAUUGUGGGGGCCGAUAGCGGAUUAGCUCGGUGGUGGGGUAAAGGCUCACCAAGGCAACGAUCCGUAGCUGGUUUGAGAGGAAGACCAGCCACACUGGGACUGAGACACGGCCCAGACUCCUACGGGAGGCAGCAGUGGGGAAUUUUGGACAAUGGGGGAAAGCCUGAUCCAGCCAUCCCGCGUGUAUGAGAAGGCCUUCGGGUUGUAAAGUACUUUCGGCAGAGAAGCGGUAUCUGCAGAAUAAGCACCGGCUAACUACGUGCCAGCAGCCGCGGUAAUUC
rnacentral:rRNA from 1 species